GCAGGCAGACUUCGACCCUGCACGCUAACCUGAGGAAACUCUUCGAAUCCACAGGGACCUCGACCUGUCCGAGUUCCUCAUUAACCCCAAGGCGAGGAAUUCCAAGUACGACCUCAUCGCCGUUUCUAACCACUACGGAAGUCUUCGUGACGGCCACUAUACCACCAUCGCGAGGAACAAGGAUGAUGGACACUGGUAUUACUUUGAUGACAGUAAGGUGACCUUCGCUUCUGCAGAGCACAUUGUGAGUAGCGCCGCCUACGUCCUGUUUUACCAACUGCAGGAGAAGGUGCAGCAGAGGGCCCCUGGGGGCGUGAGCCGCUCCCCGAGUGGGACCAGCCGCGACGCAGACCUCUCACCUCCAGGGGCUGCCGCUGUCGGGGAUUCGAUGGAGCUAGACUGAACUGAACCGGGCAGCGCCUCUCGACAGGACUGGAACCUCCUCCCUCCGCCAUCAUCCCCCUUCCUCCCCCCCCGCUGUUGCCCUGCGGAUUCGAGGAGGGAUUGGGAGGGGGUAUAACCUAUACACACCCCCUUCCCACAUCUCAUCCUAACCUCCUGCCAGACUUGGGAUCUGACUGUGCACUGCAAAUCGGAAAGACGCUGAUUUACCCCACCCCCACCCCUCAGAAUGACUCUGCUGCCAAUCCCCCUCUCCCCCCGCAACCAAUUUUUAAGCCUAUUUUAAGCUCUCUUCUGUCACUCCCUCCCCCCCCCACGACAAGGUUGAGGUAGCGGGUACGUGGCGGAGGAUGCGGGGAGGGUGCGGAGUUGGCUCUCUCCGUGCCGUCUCCCCUACCCCAAAAUCUAUGCACUUUUAGAUCCGGGAUUGCUGGCGAGAUCGUUGUUGGGGGGAGAGGAGGGGGAAGGGAUGAGUCAGCCCCGUCCUGCCUUGGCGGCCUACCAAGCAGCGGGAUCUUCCUGUGCUGCCAAUUUCCAUCCUGAAACUGAUCGAUUUAAUCUCAGGGAUUCGCUGAUCAAUGCAGUUACUGAAGCGGGUGACCAUUGCGUGGCUUCGAUUACUGUUCUGCUCACCCCGUUGACCUCGACGAGUGGGGGGGUGGGGUUAAUUAGAGCUAAUUCACACGCUCUUUUCCUCCCACCUCAUCCCCUACCACCCUCCCUCCAUUCCACCAGAGUCUCUCACACGUCCCUGAUGUAUGUGUGUGUGUUUCUUUUUAAGACAAAGAAAGUGGCCUUAUUGCUGGUUCAGUGUAACAGAACGAGGGUAGCCUCUGUCUCCCACUGUGAACUCUUUCACUCCCCCCCCCCCCCCCCCCCCGCCAACCGCAGAGGGUCAGGACGACUCAGAUUUAUUGGGAACGGGUAAGGAAUCCAUCUCUUCCCACCCUUUCACAGGAUGUGGUACCAAAUCACUGAAUGGUUAAAAAAAAGUGUGGGUGAGGGAAAUGAGAUAUUUGCUGGUGAAACUCAGCAGCUUUGUCUGGGGUGGGGUGGGGGGUGUUCCAGUGAGUCACGUUCAGACCUGGACUGACAAUGUUGACUGCUCUCUCUCUCUCUCUCUCUCUCCCUUCUCCAAUGCUCCAAGAGCAGCUGGGUUUUCCAGAUUAAUAGUGGGGAAUCUCUGCUCAGGGUGGCUGGGUACGUGGACCAUUCUCCAUUUUGCACGUGCUCUCUCUCGCUCUCUCUUCCCCACCCGCCAUCUGCGCAUCCGCCCGCUGUCUCUCUCCCCUCCCCCAUCUGCGCACCCGCCUACUCUGUCUCCCCCCUCCAUCUGCACAUCCGCCCGCUGUCUCUCUCCCCUGCCCCAUCUGCGCACCCACCUACUCUC